rnacentral:rRNA from 1 species
UACGUAGGGUGCAAGCGUUAAUCGGAAUUACUGGGCGUAAAGCGUGCGCAGGCGGUUGUGUAAGACAGAUGGGAAAUCCCCGGGCUCAACCUGGGAACUGCAUUUGUGACUGCACGGCUCGAGUGCGGCAGAGGGGGAUGGAAUUCCGCGUGUAGCAGUGAAAUGCGUAGAUAUGCGGAGGAACACCGAUGGCGAAGGCAAUCCCCUGGGCCUGUACUGACGCUCAUGCACGAAAGCGUGGGGAGCAAACAGG